rnacentral:lncRNA from 1 species
GUGAAGCAAAAGGGCGGAAGGGCAGGGAAAACAAAGACAACUUGGGGCAGAUGAGACAAACUCCGGAAAGAAAUGAGAGAUUGAUUUUGCAAAAAAUGGAGAGGAUUGAAUUCACUUGAAGAGAAGCACACCAGUUGAAAGGAAUUGACAUGACAACUCUGGUUGACAAGAAUUGAUAAGACAACAUGAUUGAGCAAAAGAAUUAGCAUUCCCGUAGAAAUAUGAGAACACCACUGAGAAAAGAUAUGAAAUCACCAUUUGAC